AUUGAACGCUGGCGGCAGGCCUAACACAUGCAAGUCGAACGGAGUGGCGGACGGGUGAGUAAUGUCUGGGAAACGGCCUGAUGGAGGGGGAUAACUACUGGAAACGGUAGCUAAUACCGCAUACUAUCAGAUGAGCCUAGGUCGGAUUAGCUAGUUGGUGGGGUAAAGGCAUACCAAGGGGCAGAUCCGUAACUGGUCUGAGAGGAUGAUCAGGCACACUGGAACUGUGACACGGUCCAGAUUCCUACGGGAGGCAGCAGUGGGGAAUAUUGGACAAUGGGCGAAAGCCUGAUCCAGCCAUGCCGCGUGUGUGAAGAAGGUCUUCGGAUUGUAAAGCACUUUAAGUUGGGAGGCGUUACCAACAGAAUAAGCACCGGCUAACUCCGUGCCAGCAGCCGCGGUAAUAC
rnacentral:rRNA from 1 species